AGGGUUUGAUUAUGGCUCAGGACGAACGCUGUCGGCGCGCCUAACACAUGCAAGUCGAACGGGACUGAUUUUGGAAGUUCUUCGGGAUGGAAGAAAUCAGUCUAGUGGCGGACGGGUGAGUAACGCGUGAGCAACCUGCCUUUCAGAGGGGGAUAACGUUUGGAAACGAACGCUAAUACCGCAUAACAUACCGGUAUCGCAUGGAACUGGUAUCAAAGGAGCAAUCCGCUGAAAGAUGGGCUCGCGUCCAAUUAGCUAGUUGGUGAGGUAACGGCCCACCAAGGCGACGAUUGGUAGCCGGACUGAGAGGUUGAACGGCCACAUUGGGACUGAGACACGGCCCAG
rnacentral:rRNA from 1 species